rnacentral:lncRNA from 1 species
UGGGUGAGCAAGUUAAGGAGAUUGCAAUAUAAAAGGAUGGCUCAAAAAUAUACUUUUGCUUCGUAACAUCCGAGAUAAUAAACCUCAGUCCGACCUUAUUCUCAAAAGCUCUGGUGAAUAAAUAGUUAAAUUUUAUCAGAUUGGAAAUUUGCAUUAUGGUCUCCAAAUCUCGUCCUUAUCCUUCCCUCUUCGACAUUAUCUUUAUGCUGGGGGGUUGCUGAGAAGUCAACGUCUCGCACAUCUUAAGAGAAUGCAAUCAAAUAACCAAUCUGCACCCUCACAGUUUGCUCGCUCGUGACUGAGCAUGGACUUCCAGCUAGUUAUGCAGAUGGACGCUAAAAUGGUGGCCAGUACUUGUGGGGUUGGGUCUGAAGGAUGUAAUUGGUAUGGCUCACUUUGCUUGGCUCUAGCCAAACACAUGGAGUUAACUGUUGGAGUUUAUCUUGCAACACAUGAAUCAAGUCAACUCUCAAGCUAAAUCCAGUCCUUUUAUCAAAAAAAAAAAAGCUAAAACCAGUUCAAUAUUUACUUUUCAAAAAGUAUAUCAAGAAGUAUGACAAGUCCUGAUUUUUUGCGAGGGUGUAUGGUUUUCAUGCAAAAUAAAUGAAAAAGAAAACUGAAGCAACGUGCUCAUGAAAACUUUCUUUUAUUCUUAUGAGGAGAAAAUAAAAAUUCCAAAUUUCCUGAUUCCAUGCAUUUUAUAAAGUUUUAGGUACAGUGUGUUACAAAAUUUUAAUAUGAUAUUUUGUAAUUUUUAAACAGACAAAAUGUCACAAUUUAUAGAAAUAUUCAAGUGUACCUUAAACCGUCAUACAUCGUUAAUUGUGACAAUGCGGAACUGAUUGAGGAGCUAAGAGCUGGCAGUUUGAAGGGCGGGACCAGUUCUGUGACUCGUUUUGGCGCCCCGAGCGCCCCCGGUUUGGGUUGUAUCUUUCGCGCGAAGGAAUGAUUGGUCUUCUUUCGCGACAUCAACUACUGGAUCUUAUCACACACAAAGAAGAUGAUGAUGGAUCGUUCUUUCGCGCCAAGCCCCAAGCUAUGAGUGGGGACCGCACCACGGCAGCUUUGGCUGUGGAGGGGCCGCCAAUUCCAUUGGGUGGUCGCUUUCUUUUGUUCCCCGCUUUUCACCAACGGCGAGCCCAAUGUGGACCACCUUGGAGGCCGGACCACACGUAGGGCCCCACCUUAUUUCAGCACGUGGGGGACAGUUUGGCCCACCCAUUCAUGCAAUUUGACACCUAGUGGAGCUCGCAACAAUCGAGGCAUGUAUAUCUCCAUUCUGACGUCUGACCACCGUCCUUUCCAGACGAGGAGGGCAAAAUGCUUUUGACGUCGCUGUCAUUUUUUUUAAACAAACUUUAAAAUCUAUUUUUUUAUUAUUUUUUUAAUAUUUCUGGCAACAAAAAAAAUUAAUUUUUAUUUUUAUAAUAAAACAUAUAUUUAAAAAAAUAUUAUUAAAAAAUAUUAAUUAUCGAUGGAUAAGAUUCAUCUCUAUUCCGUUCUUAUUCCAUCGUUAAACUAGAUAGGGACUGUUAAAUGACUGAUAAGUUAUAGAAUCAAGACUGUAGUAAAAAAAUUUAUUGCUAAAUUAGCGAUGGAUAUCUUUGUUGUUGCUCAUCCAUCGCUAAAUUUAUUUAGUGAUGGAUUAACAAUAUCAUUUCGACCAUCGCUAAAGUCAUGACACAAUCCUAAUAAGAUACAAUAAUUUAUUUCUAAUGUCACAAUUUCAUCACUAAAAAAAUUUAAAAAAUAAAACUAUCAUUAAUCCAUUGCUAUGCGAUCUUUAAUAUAAUAACAAAAACUUAUCGCUGUCGCUAUUCUGGUAGUAUUCAGUUGCUAAUAUAAUGUGCUGUUCAUCGCUACUUUGUGACUAGUCUAUCAUUAAAACUAAAUAUUUUUCAUUGCUAUGUUGUCAGUAUGUGGUCAUUAAUAUAGUAUCUCAUUAGUCACUUAUUUAUUGCUAGUAUGCCGUUAAAUAUAAAUAUAUAUUGUUGCUAGUCUGUCAUUAUUCUAUCACUACACUAUUUAUCCGAUAUCUUUGUUAGUUUUUAAUCUAUCACGAUUCCGUCGCUAAUUUUAUUUUUGAAAUUAGAUUCCGUCAACAGUCCAUCUCUAUUUUGUCACUAAAAUUUUUAUUUUUUUAUUUUUUUUAAUAUCUAAAAUUAAUACUUGCAUAACUCAUAAUAUCCAUUGGAGCAAUAUCCAAUCUCCUAUUUUUUACCUCAAGCAACAUCAAUUCCUCCAUUUUAGCAAAAUACACUCAAUCAUGGAAUCUAUGAUUUUUUAUCCAAAAUCAAUAAAUUAUAAUUUUUAUAAUACCAUAAGUAUGUACAAAUACAUAUAGAAUACAUAUAAUGUCAAUCAUAUAUAUUCAAAAUACAUAAAAUACAUAAAUAAUAAAAUAUAUAAAACAAUACAAGUGGCACAUAAUAAAGCACACAACAAACUAUGAAGUGCCUAGAUGUGUAUCCCUUCCACCACAGCUAUGUCUACUUCUAUCUUUCUCCAAUACAUGCUGCUCCGAAGUAGAGUCUUAAACAUCAUACAUCCACGUAUAAGUAUGAUAUAGCCCAAAAAAUAAAGAAAGAUAUAAAUAUUGUAUUUCUUCAAGUACUUGAAGUCGAGUUGGAGUUUGAGAAAAUGUCGAUGGAGUGUAUGGGUGUGGUGGCAUCUGUGCAUCCAGGAAGAGCAGUCUACCAAGCAGAUGACCAACGUCAUGGAGCUGUAGUCGGAGUCAUAUCCGAAGAUCUAGAAGAAUGCUCAAUUGUCGAUCCACGUGAUGUCGUUGGUGGUUAUGGAUGUAUCAAUUGAGACAAGUCAUGAAGAAUCCAAUCUAGAUUGCUGUUGUACAAGAAGAACCUGACCUAUUGAAUUUUGUUAUGUCUGAAUAUUCUAAUUUAACUUAUCCAUAUUUUUUCACAUAAGAUACAUCUCCCUCAUCACCUCAUCGUUCGAAUGUGGUGUGCACCACAUCCAAUGGUGUUAUUUUGAGAUGAUAUAUUGUUGGAUUUAGAUGGAGGAGCAACUAAGCUAUAACCUAACCCAAAUAUUCUAUCUUUUUUGGGUGGUCCCAUAGCAAUCAAUCAAGCCUCCUCAUCUAAAGAAGGAUGGAAAAAUAGGUCCUUACCAUACUUCUGUCGCAUGAUAGUAUAAUAUUUCUCCUGCAAUGUAAAACCAAAAAAAAAAAUCAAUAUAUAAACAACUAACAUGACAACAUGCCUUACGACAGUAAAUAUGCAAAAUGAAAAAGAACAAGAGAAGAAAAAUACUUACACUCACUAUCUUUGCUUUCUCAGAUAUAAAGGUACCAUCUUUUCUCUUGUGAGUGUGUUCAAAUAACAUUUUGUGAUAGAUCGGUCUGUCAAGCAUCAUUUUUUGUAAUAAUUUAAAAACUGUAAAUUAAUGCUCAAUACUUAUAAAAAAGUAUCAUAAAGGCAACAAUAAUUACUUUAAAAAAAAUAUCAUAGAGGCAACAACAAUUACUUUAAAUUAGGAUAUCAGCAUGAAACUAAUGAAAUCUAACUCUAAUAAAUUGAGAAAUAUAAAAUUUAAUGAGAUAGGAUAGUACAAUAGUUGUUUAGAAGAAAAGUGUAUUGAAUGGUAGAUCUUAUUGUCAAUCAAGUUGAAGCUGAAUUGUUUAUGAUUUGGCACUAAGCAGGUUGAUUAAGCGAUCUCAAAUAAUUAUGAUAACUUGCUCAGACAUAGAUGAUCUUGGAUACUUAGGUAAUAUGUGUACUGGAUCAGAUAGGUUUGUGUGAACUAACUUUGUUUUUUUGUUAUAUCCUGCAACUUUGGGUAGGACUUGAAACCAUCUGGGAUAAUCGCUGAGGUGAAAGUUUUCUGACUGAAGUACAGAAAAAUCAAAGAUGGAUCACCUUGCAGCGCUUGCACAGGAGUUGAAUGAUGGUUCAGAUUUCGAAGUUGAUGAUGUAAGAUGUGAAAAUCUUACAGAGAAAGAUGUUAGUGAUGAAGAAAUUGAACCAGGUGACUUGGCAAAGCGGAUGUGAAAGGACACAGCCAAGCUCAAGAGAAUCAAGGAGCGGCAAAAGCUUGCUGCCAACAGGCUUCUGAAAAGCCUAUGCCCAAGCAGGCUUCUGAGCAGGCUCGUGGGAAAAAGAUGUCCAGAGCACGAGAUGGGAUACUUAAGUACAUGUUGAAGUUAAUGGAGGCAUGUAAUGCUGUUCCUAUUAACAAUAACGUCGAUGGUCCGGCACCAAACAAAAAUUCAGAUGCAGCUGCUGGAGGAAUGCAUACAUUUGUAGAUGAACCCUUCUACAGUGAGCCUGAUAAGUUUGUUGACAAUUCUUUUGAUGGACUGCCAUCGGAUUACAUUGGGAUUAACAGUCCAAUUUUUGACAUUGAUGACCUGCUGCGAGAUGAUAAUUUAAUGGAGUACUUGGAAACAUAAGUGAGUAAAAGAUUUUGUCAUGUCAAUUUGUUAUUUACUGAUCAUUCCAAAUGACAGUUGCAUACAAUUUCACUGCAACUUUUCUUUUUAAAAUCAUUAGCUAGAUACUUUAUUGUCAUGAGGUUUUCUAUUGCUUAAAAUGAUACUGAUAUAUAAAAAUAAAUGUUUUCCUACUCUUACAGCAUUGCUAAUUUGAGUGUGCCUUUGCAAACAAGAGCUUUGUUUGGUGUCAAAUAUCCUGGAGGCAAGGGAGAACUACAAUAAGUCAAGGUUGUCAAGGUGACUAGGCGGUCUCUAGUCAGCAAAGGCCCUAACUGCCUAGGUGCCUAAGUGGACUGCCUAGUGACAAAGGCAAUCCAUUUGAAAAGGGCAAAAAAAAAUCUAAAAAUGACAUAAAUAUAUUUUAUUUUUCAGAUCAUACAUAUAAAUGGCCAAAUAGCAAGCUAAGAGUUAAAAUUGAUUAAAAUUGUGACAUGAUUUCAUCAUAUAUUGACCGACCAAGUCAAAUAUAAGUGUAUAAGCGAUAGCAAAAGUAAAUAGCUGAAGUUAAAUCAUAAAAAAUAUAAAUUUGAUGAUCAAAAAGUGGUUCAAGUUCUUUAACCACAAUCAGAAGAAUCUAACUAAUUAUCAACAAAAAAUAGCUAUAUCUUCCACUUGUGUAUCUUAAAAGAAUUCUCCUUUAUUAAGGUGAAAGAACUCUGUUAAGAAUGCAUAAAAGUACAUACCAUGUGCCUACCACAAGCAUACAUGAUAGCUGCCCAUCUGUGUGGAUGCUCAUGUUAGAUUGUUGAAGAUUCUUUGAUGCAGUCUUCAACCUUUUUUGCCAUUCUUCCUUUAUCCACUCUGCCACGAAGCUAGCCCAUUUCUCAGCAGUUAUAAAACGGAGCCUUUUACUAAUUGUUUCACUCAAAUCUUCUGUAUUAUUAUUCUAUAUUACCCAUUUUCUUAAAUAGUUUAGUUUUUGACUAAAUCGUUUUCCUGUAAUCUUUAUGAACAUCUUUUUCAAUACACUUUAGUAAGGCCAUGAGCAAAUUUAUAACUAUCCUGUAAAUGUUAUAGAAACACAUCAAUCACUAAAAAAUAUUAACCUAAAAUUAAUAAAAAUAAGAAUCAUGUAGUUACUAAAUAAGUUUGUUUCAUGAAUAUAAGAAACUCAUCGAACAAGAAGUCCUUCAAUUUCAUGGGGUAUAUGGACCAUCUGAUACAACCAUUUGGAUACUCAUUCUUUAAGAUAUAUUUCUAGCAUACUCUUUUAAUAAAUAUUUUAUUAUAAAAAAAUAUUUAAGAUAUUAUUCUACUAUUUUUAUAUUUUAUUAUUUUUUAAAAAAUAAUAUUUUAUUAUUUUUUAAUCCUCCUUCUUCAUAGUUUUUCUUUGCCACUGUCCGCCUCUCUGCUGCCACAUGCCAUCCUCCAUCUUCCUUCUUUAUCUAUCUCCACCGCCCUCCUCUUCGACCGUAGCCACCCCUUUGAUCCUCAUUCUCCGUCCACCUUUCCGACGCUCAAGCCCAUUACCGCACGCCACCCCCUCCUCUUCUUCCUCUGGCCAUCUAUCUACCGCUUGAGCCCGUCACUGUAGUCACCCCCUUUCCUUCUACUCCUCCGUCUCUCUCUCCAUCGAUUGGGCCCGUUGCUUACCUCCACACCCUCUUUUCCUUCCACCACUUGGAUCCAUCACCUCCUUCCUCCUCCAUUGCUUGUUUUUCUUUGCAGCCACAUGCCGUCCCCUUCUUCCACCUCCAUGGCUCGGAUUUGUGGCUAUACGCUAACCACUAACAAAAAGGAAUAGUGCACUAUCGGGGAGGAAGGAGGAGGAAAGGUGAGGGGAGGCAGAGAGGAAGAAUGAAGGGAUGAAGGGGUGGAGGUGAUGGGAGGAAAGGACAUGACUUCCAAAAUAUCCCACCAGUUUUUUGGUUUCAGAAUUUUAUUUGAAUUUUAAGUUAUUUACCACACCAAUCAUGCACAUGAUCAGUUAAAACUGAUUGCUGAUCAAUAGUUCAAUGCCGUCCAUCUUAAAAUAAAUAGUUAGAAAAAAAUCAAUAAUAAUCAGAAGAGGUUUUGGAGUGCGGCAAAAUCCUAUGUUUAUCCAUUAGUGAUUUUUAUUGAGCCCUAUAUAUUAUUCAACUAAUCAUCAACUUCUACGUCUUCAGAUAAUUUAAGUAAUGAUUAGUAGGAAGUGAUCUUGAGCAGUUUUACUGUUUGCUCAACCAAUCAUGGGCUUCUAAAUCUCCAGAUAAACAAAGCUGUGAAUUGUGAUUAGUAGCAAGUGAUCUCUAGCAAUUAUAUUUUAUCUGCUAUUCUCCGAGAUAUAUUUAUCUUCCGAUAACACAUGAAUAUCAACUAUCCAUGUUGGAUGUGGCAAUCAAAGACUGGUGUGGCAGACACAAGAAUUAGUGAUAUCCAUUGAACCUCGUGUAUUGUCUAAUCAUCAGCUUCUACAUCAUUGGAUAAAUUAAGGAAGUAGCAAGUAAGAUUCAUAUCAAAGUAACAUCUGGCCCACCAUAAAGUAUAAGUUUUCUAGACAAGAUGAUAUUUGUGUAGUUUAAUGCCUGAACUUUCAUUGAGAAGUUAGAUAGAUAUAUUUAUUUAAUCAUUUUUCUGAUUUUUGAAAAGUUCGACCAACAAGUAUUUACUGCUUAACCAGUUCAAUAGGCUUUAGCCCCAUGAUNNNNNNNNNNNNNNNNNNNNNNNNNNNNNNNNNNNNNNNNNNNNNNNNNNNNNNNNNNNNNNNNNNNNNNNNNNNNNNNNNNNNNNNNNNNNNNNNNNNNNNNNNNNNNNNNNNNNNNNNNNNNNNNNNNNNNNNNNNNNNNNNNNNNNNNNNNNNNNNNNNNNNNNNNNNNNNNNNNNNNNNNNNNNNNNNNNNNNNNNNNNNNNNNNNNNNNNNNNNNNNNNNNNNNNNNNNNNNNNNNNNNNNNNNNNNNNNNNNNNNNNNNNNNNNNNNNNNNNNNNNNNNNNNNNNNNNNNNNNNNNNNNNNNNNNNNNNNNNNNNNNNNNNNNNNNNNNNNNNNNNNNNNNNNNNNNNNNNNNNNNNNNNNNNNNNNNNNNNNNNNNNNNNNNNNNNNNNNNNNNNNNNNNNNNNNNNNNNNNNNNNNNNNNNNNNNNNNNNNNNNNNNNNNNNNNNNNNNNNNNNNNNNNNNNNNNNNNNNNNNNNNNNNNNNNNNNNNNNNNNNNNNNNNNNNNNNNNNNNNNNNNNNNNNNNNNNNNNNNNNNNNNNNNNNNNNNNNNNNNNNNNNNNNNNNNNNNNNNNNNNNNNNNNNNNNNNNNNNNNNNNNNNNNNNNNNNNNNNNNNNNNNNNNNNNNNNNNNNNNNNNNNNNNNNNNNNNNNNNNNNNNNNNNNNNNNNNNNNNNNNNNNNNNNNNNNNNNNNNNNNNNNNNNNNNNNNNNNNNNNNNNNNNNNNNNNNNNNNNNNNNNNNNNNNNNNNNNNNNNNNNNNNNNNNNNNNNNNNNNNNNNNNNNNNNNNNNNNNNNNNNNNNNNNNNNNNNNNNNNNNNNNNNNNNNNNNNNNNNNNNNNNNNNNNNNNNNNNNNNNNNNNNCAAGUAUAAUUGUAUUCUUUACUUCUUGAACCAGCGGACUUGGGUUGGGUAUGUAAACUUCUAGGCUGCUGACCAUAGAAAGAUGCAUGAACACUCAGCUUAGCUUGGCGAGCGCUUCAUGCCUACUUUAUGUCACGAGCACGAGUACUUGCUGUGGGCCAAACUCGAUACGCACCAGUGGAACUCCGUCCUUCACGUUUAAUGGUUUCAAUUUGUUCCAAAAUGAUCUCAGUACUACAGAUCAUCCAGCUCUCUUCCUGCAAUAACCACCGACUACUCCCCUUCUUUCUAUUCUUCGCCAGAUUAUUUUUUACUACUGUUACGAUUUUUUUUAUACCUCAUACACUUCUAAAUUAUUGAUUUUGGACGAUGGAAAAGUUGAUGAAGGCCUUCGCAUGCUCAUGCUAUGCUGUAAAAGUGCCAGGAUGAAUCGGAGAUCAAUUAUAUCUUGAGAGCAUCAGAGCACUAUAUCUUGUACGAGAAGGAUAACAGUAUUGCAACAGUGUGUAUCAUACAUCCAGCUUGGGUUUUCUUGUUUCAAUUUACAGGUAAACAAUAACAACUAAUGUAGCUAAGAUCAUCAAAUAAAACUGUUGCUGCAGAUUUCUUACCCAGAUUGAACUGGCUGGAGAGAGACGACGACAAGCGGGGUGAUAACGAUCGGACCUAUAAAAUAAUUUUUUGAUCGAAGUUGACUUCGUCAGGACCCUUCACUGCUUAAAUCAGGAAUCAAUAGAAUAGAAGAGAAGGAGCGUAUGAGAGAGAAAAAUUAUAUACCUUGAGAUUUUCUGAUUACCUCUAAUUAUAGAUCGAAGUGAGAGCCAUGAGAGAAAAGAAUUAUAGGCUGCUCCAACUCUUUUGAAUGUAUCGCUUCGUGAUUUUCGAUCUGAUUUUUCAGAGUUGGGCUGUUGUAUUUAUCUUAUCCGAUCUGCUGCUAGCUGCUCUCAGUGAUUGCGUGAUUUGAAGGAAUUGUUCUAUCAAUCUUUUCGAAUAUAGUAAUCAAAGUAGGAAUCUAAGGGAAUGUGAGUCGGUGACUAGCUAUGCGUACUAUUGAAGAUAGAGAUCGGCAACAGAUGCAUGAGUCAGACCAACAUAGAGGUCAGCACAUGACAUCUGGAUCGAUAUCCAAUAUCUGAAGGUUGCUUUGUUGAUGAGAGUUAACAACGAUGUAUAAAUCAGCAAUUUGAUAUACACGAGAUGGGUGUUGGUCGUUGAUGUGAGGAUUGGAGGUCUAAGCAUGGAUUGAUGAUUUAUGUAUGGAAACAGUGACGAUGAAUUUGAAAAUUCAUGUAUGAAUUGAUGAUCGAUGUAGAAAUAUUAACUCAUGAUCGAUCGUGAUCGAAAUCUAGCCGUACCUUUAGUUAGGACACCAAAAUUCUACCCACAAUAAACGCCAUGUUUUUCUAAAGAAACAACUCGCCGAUGGGCAGCCAGCUACUUUGAUCAGAGCUUUCGGAUGCAAGGAUAAUUGGGGUUAUCAGGAUGAAAUUAUUAGUUAGAUUAAAUUCAUUAGCUCGAUCACGGACCACUCCAAUGACAAAGAGACACUAUUACAUUAUUUUUUUAUUUUUUAUUUAUAUUUUUAUAAAUAUACUUUUUGUUUUUUUUUCGGUGGUUGAAUUUGUCCAUUGCUAAGUUGGUGAUUCCGACCCGCGCACUAUUUUCUCGUUACGAGGUCGGUCUCAAACCCUACAUGGGUGACAGGUGACCAGCAGAGGUCGAACUGAAACACUGGCAACCACUAUUACAAAAGGAUGUGCCCGCUACUUUGCCGGCCAGAAGCUCUCGAGGCUUAUCUUGGCAACCGUACCCAGAAACAAUGACACUUCCUGACUUCAUCCUCUGUCAGGAUAUCACAUGUCGCAAAACCGUGGAUCUUUUUCUCUGACCAUUUUCUUUUUUUUAAUAAAAACUAUUUUCUUUUUUUCGGGUAAAAUUUCUCUGACACGUUUGAAGCCACGGAAAUGAACAGCUGUUGGAGUUUGAGAGGUAUCUAGGCGUCAGCCUUCAAAUCAGGUAUAGAUACCAGGGCCAUGUCUGCUGUGUCGAAUUGUCGUCAGGGUUUCGCACACGACAAUGUCACUGAAACAGGAUCCAAUUAAAGAUACGUAUAAGAUCGAACACGAAUUCUCUGUUGUAUAUCACAUGAUGAAAUGCACGGCAUAUCAUCUAUCAUAUCUAUCAUAUGAUGGAUGAUCACAUAUAACUUAUGUACGUAUGCGAGAUAAUCAAAUAGAAGUGUUUUGCUGGUGAGAUAAUGCUAUACGUCGCCGUAUUCUGACCUCAAAUUCAUAUUUUACACUAAAAAUAAAUAAUAUAGGAAUAUAUUUAUUUCUCAUAUUUAAUAAAAUUUGGAUGGUCUCAUCCACUUUCUCUAAAAAUAAAAAAAUAAUAAAAAAAAAAUCUCCGUUUCACAAAUUAUUGCACUGUUACAUCAAAUUAUGAACGCCGGACACAACAAACAAAUGGUUGUAUAAACAGCUGUGGCACAACACAUAGGCAAAGGCAAGUCAUAACAUGUAUGGAUGCACAUUCACGGUGGGGCCCGCUAAAGUAAUAUAGACGUAUACGAACGGAGAGGGAUCAUGGAUGGGGAUCCCCGGCUGCUAGCUUGGCUCGGAGGUCCUUCCUCAAUAUCUUGCCAGAUGCCGCCUUGGGAAUGGCCUCGACGAAGAAUACCCUGUGUAUCCUCUUGUAGAACACCACCUGAGACCGACGACAAGACGAGCGUUUCGUUAAAAGGCUAUAAAAUAGUAACAGCUUCACACUUGACGCGGAAAUUGAGCAUCUGGACGACAUAUUACUCCAGAUUACUGCAUACCGAGUGAUGAACAGUUUUCGCUGCUAUACAUCUAGCCAUUGUAUCUUUUGCAAUAAGGCCUCGUCUUGGGUCGAUUUCUAUUGUCUUGGGUCGACUAAUCAGGCCGGACUAUUCAAAUGAUGUAAAAGCUGAACAUCGGCCCAUUAACGUACCAAACAAUGAGAAAUGCCCGCGGUGAUUGGCCCUGCACGGGAAAAAAUCUUUUUCUUCCGGUGCACAAAGCAUUUCUCCCAAACAAUAUGCUCUUUUGUGGGCAUCUUUUGGGCUGGCAUGGGCCUGGUGCAUAUAAGAUGAUCUAAGAUAAUCCAUAAUAAUCUGGAUAAAAUAUGGUUUCGGAAGGGAAAUAUUGGCAUCAUUUUGAUCCUACUCAAAUUUUAUUAAAAAGCUCCUAACUUAACUAAUUCUAAACUAAAUCUGUAUUCUAUCAAGGCUCUUGAUAGAAUCGGCCCAAGCCACUUUUGGAUGGGUAAGUAAGCGGACUCCCUAUUCAUUCCUUUAUCAUGCUAAGGGCCUAUUUGGAUAUUUCUGCAGGAUUGGGCUAAAAUCCUGCAGAAAUCAGACCUGGGCCAUCCAAUAAUGUGCACAGAUUAUUUCUAAUAUUACCGGCCUCUAACAGUCCAUCCUUGUAGGAUGGAAACAAAAGACCUGGUGAGGUCUUUCUUUCUGCCUAUAGGAUUUGGGCCGUCCUACUCUAAAAAAAUUCCUUUGAACAGUGUGAAAUAGGCCUUGCCUGCCUAUGUUCUUGCGAAUCCUAUUGGAUUAUAUGGGAUUAUUCAAACAAGCCCCAAAUAAUCUAUUUGACCAAUGAAAUAGUAUAAUUCCCUCCUAAUACUGCAUGAGGGUUUAUCCCUCUUACUUGAUGGAUAAGCUUAUUUGUGGAGAGAGGUGGAAUAGGCUCAUUCCCUUCCACAUCAGAUACCAAAAAAUCAUCUCUCUCUCUCUCUCUCUCUCUUCUAUCUACUCUUAACUCUUAAGUACACAAAAAAUAGAAGGGUAAUUUUACCUUUGUGAUUUAAAAAAAAAAAAUCGUCAAGAAUUCCAAAGUAUGUUUAAACUCUACUUCCUUUCCUUAUCCCCUCCCACUUAUUUCUCCAAUCAAAUGCCAGAGGACACUUAUCCUAUGAAAUAAGCCAAUCCCUUCCAUGGUACCCGGACCAUUUUUCUUUUUCCGUAUUCAACAACGAAAUGCAGCCUAAGAGCUGACCCAACAGCAUAAACGUGGCCCAUGGCCCGGCUCAUAGGACUGGCUAGCUACGUUACGUUGGAUUAUAUCAUGUCCUUACAGCUGAGCUCUUAAAUUGUGUAAUUAGUUAGAGCAUCUCACCUGUUUCGAGAUGUAUUGUUUGAUCUCGUCUUCUGUGAUUUCUGAGCCACUUGAUCGCACGACAAAUGCCACCGGGAGCUCCCCACAAAGAUCAUCCUUCAUCCUGGAAAUGAUCAAAAUGAUAUUGGAGUUAUACAUAAGUAACGAUGGCUGCUGUUAAAUAACGAGACGCUAGGAGAAAAAUUGGACCAUGAUUAAGGUGCACCACUUACGAGACAACGGCAGCAUCGGCUAUGUUGGGGUGGGCGAUGAGCAUGGCUUCGAGCUCAGCAGGGGCCACUUGGAACCCUUUGUAUUUGAUGAGCUCUUUCAGCCUAUCCACUAUGAAGAUCUCGUCGUCAUCAUCCACGUAGCCAAUAUCUCCAGUAUGGAGCCAACAUUCUCUGUCUAUGGUCCGUUCCGUUGCCUCUGGAUCAUUCAGAUAACCUGAAUAAUUGCAAUAAGAUAGAGUUAGUAUGACCUCUCUUCUUCCCUUUUUUUCUUUUUUUCCCCCUAAGCCCGCAGUCAAGCCCAUCAAGCUUCGUUGAUAUUAAUGAUACAAUAGGAUAAUGAGAUCUUUUAGAAGAAGCUGUACAAUUGCAAUCAAAACAGAGAAUCUUUUACAGAAAAAAAUAAUAAUGGUAAGGCCGCAAAGCGGCCAGCGAAAGUGAUGCAGAUUAAGACGGAGGGAUCUAAACAAAUCCAUCGUUGCGCACAUUUUGCCUCAGUACACCAAACAUAAGACAUGUUUUAAGAAAGUAUAGACGAUACCGUGCAAGUCAUGAUAGAUGAUAAAAUAUAUAUACAUAUAUCUAUAUCUAUCUUUGAGAAAGAGGUUCCAGUCUGCAGAUAAUACAGGGCUUGUGACCCCAUACGUACAUUCCAAGAAAUUUUAUAGGGAAAACUUCCAAGCAAAUAAGAAUCUAAUAUUCAGGAGAGCAAGCUUGUUGUAACCAGCGAUAUUUAAAAAUUGUUUUAAAAUAUUAUCCCGGGGCUCUUUUUUCUUUUCUCAAGAACGUUGUCUGGUAUCUCUGAAUAAUGAGGUUUUUUUUUUGUCUUUUUUUCUUUUUUCUGUGGAGUUCCUCAUUUUGAGAUGUAGAAUGUGACGUGUAUGCAUUAUAUAUCCCACUAAUUGACUUUUUUUUUUUUCUUACGGUGCCAUAUUUUGAGAUGUGGAAUGGUGACAUGUAUGCAUUAUAUAUUUUCUAAACACACCUUCAUGGUCAAGUAGAAUCCUUUACAGCGUGCGGGCGGCACAGCAGAAUGCUGUGCAGCUCUCCAUGGCGAUUACUAGAAAGUAAAGGACUAUCAAAUAAUAUACGAAAUAAUAUGUAUUUAUGGAUUAUCUUAUUUGAUAACUAUCCAUUUUUUAUUGGCAACCAUAAAAAACUGUACAGUAUAUAUUAUGCUACGGCUCAUGUUGUGGCUAUUCCCUUUGCUGGAGGAGUGUUCGUAGUGCACCAUUUAGUUGUAUUUAGUUUUUAUUGUAGUGCCGCAAGGUCUGUCCAAUUCUAUUAUUUAUCAAUACUUUUUCUUGCACCGUUGGCAUGUCACAUGGCAACAGAUUGAUGUGAUCCAUCAAAAGUUAAUAAUGGAAAGCACCAACCUUCCGAGUUAAAGUAGUCGGACCAUGGCAUCGUUGAAGAAAAGAAAAACUUUUCUAAAACAAAAUUCCUUGGUUUUCGAAAACAAAAGAAAAGAUUUACCUAAAAUGUUUUACGAUUAAUCUGGCGUUCGUCAACAACUUCCUUUAAUUCCUAUAAUUAACCCCAAAGCUUCUACAAAUUAAUCUAAAAACAACCUUGCCUAAUCCAAAAAUUGGCAAAGGAUCCAAGAGUUACCUUUCAUAAUUUGCUUUCCCCUGAUGCAGAUCUCACCAGGCUGGUUCCGAGGCAGUGAUAGUCCAGUCUCAGGGUCCACUAUCUUGAGCUCAGCGUUCCUCACAACGGUGCCACAUGAUCCUGAUUUCACAUCAAACGGCUCCCUUGCGAAUGCUAGACACAUGGAGAGAACUGGCCCAGCUUCGGUCAUUCCAUAGCCCUGGGAGAUUUUUUAGUCAAAUACUCCAUGUUUAGUUACCAACCAUUUUCGCAUUAAAUGAAUGUUUUAAGUGUCUGCCCUGUCCUGUAGCUUUCCGAGACAAAUUUGUCGUAAUAAGUAGAUGACCAGAGGGACAAAUGAAAGCAACGAGACGAUAGAGAUUGAUAAGCAUUCGAGCUUGGAAUUGAAAGAGCAAGUGUUUUGAACAAUAUUUUACUCAUAAAAGAUCUACCAUAUCGAUGUUUGACCUAGUUCAAGUAUUUAAAAAUUAAUAGAUCUAAGUGGCCAUAAUCCCAUCAUUUCGGUGAAAAGAAAAGGAAAAAAGAAAAAAUCUCUUUCAAGACAUGCUUCUUAAAUUUGACACACUGCUGGACCCCCACCUGUCCUUACCCUCAAGAAAAGACAUCAAAAUAUCCUUUCAUGUACGUAUAUGCAGAUGUGGGGAAUGCGUCGUCUUGGCAUAUAAUGAAAUUAGUAAAGAUAAAAUGGAUGCGUAGCAAUGUGAAUGAGUGGUAAAGGUGUGAUUGAAUUAUGUGUUUUUUUUUUUUUGAGAUGAUACUUUUGGGGAUAUAUGUUGUCUCAGUGCAUAGUCUUAUCAUGUGAAAGAUCAUUUUUAUAUUUGAAAUUUAUGCCUGUAUUUGAACCAGGACAAUCAAAUUAUAAUAAAAUAAUAUUACUAUUUCACUAAAAUACAUUUUUCGAAAUUUAAAAUGUAGGUAUGUCUUAGGAUUUUUAUUUCUUUAUAAUUUUUUUAUCAAAUUUUAUUUUAUUAUUAUUAUUUUAUUAAAAUAGUUAUUGAUUGGAUCAGAUCCAUCGUUGGGCUCAUAGAUCCGUCCAAAUUCAAAGUAACAUGCACGCCACGCAAUAGAUGCGCGUCUGUACAUGUUACUUUACGGUUGGACCUGUCACCAGCUCAGCGGUGGGCAUAGUUCAACUAAAAAUUAUAUGUUUUAAUGGUCCCACUAGUAUUGCUCGCUAGCAUGACAUGAUGGAAGAUGUGCUGUUCAGCUAGAUUCCACCAUGCUCCGAACGGCCGAUUAUUGAUUGGUGGGACCCACCAAAUUACUGCGUGAUUAAAUUAGACAAAAAUAGCUGGGGGUGGUCCUCCAGUGGAUCCGAGAUCGUGGGCAUGAUUUAAUCAUACUUAUAUUAACAUAAUCAGCAAUAUCGUGAUUUGUAAGACAUAAUUAAAUUACUGAUUGGUUUAAAAUGUCGACCCCGGUUUAAUGUCUGAGUUCACAGGGAACGAUUCGAUCUAAGUCACGAUCGAUCUACGAAGCACCGCACCAAUUAUAUUUUAAAAAUUAGGAACCACUAAUUGUUUAAUUAAACGCAGGAUGAAAUUAACCCAUGGUCAAACUAAAUCGUCAACUGUAAAUUUAAAGGAGAACGACACCAAGGCUCCAUACCUGCCCGAGCUUGGCGUUCGGUAUCUUGGCCAUGAGCUUGUCCUGCAGCUCCUUCCCCAUGGGCGCCGCCCCGGACAUCACCGUCCGGAUCGAGGACAGAUCGUAGCGGUCCACCGCCGGGCUCUUCACCAUUUCCACCACUAUCGGUGGCACGAACGGCGCAAUCGUCACCUUGUACCUCUCCACCAGCUCCAUCAUCACCGCCACGUCGAACCUCCUCAUUAUCAGCAGCGCCGCCCCCGCCCUCAGCCCGCACAGCAGUAUGGAGUUCAAGGAGUAUAUGUGGAAGAGCGGCAGCACGCAGAGAACGACGUCUUCUUCAUGGAAGUAGAGAUUGGGGUUGUCGCCGUCCACCUGCUGGGCCACGCUGGUCACCAGACCUCGGUGUGUGAGCAUGACUCCUUUGGGGAGCCCGGUGGUGCCGGAGGAGUAGGGGAGGGCCACCACGGCGUCGGGGUCGAUCUCCACCUCCGGCGCCCCCGCCUCGUCGGCGGAGAGAACGUCGGAGAAGGGGAUGCAGCCAUCGGGGAGGGGGCCGUCGACGCAGAUGAUGGGAAUAUUGAGGUCGACGACCUUGGGGACGUGGCAGGACUCGGUGAGGACGACGCGGGAGGCGGAUGCGGCCGCCUGCUUGGCGACCUCGGCCUUGGUGUGGAAGGGGUUGGCGGUGGUGACGAUGGCGCCGAGGCGGGAGGCGGCGAGGAAGGCGAGGGCGAAAGCCUGGCAGUUGGGUAGGAGGAGCAUGAGGACUUCCCCGCGGCGGAGGCCGAGGCCGUGGAGGCCUGCGGCGGCGCGGCGGGAGAGGAGGUCGACAUCGGCGUAUGUCAGAGUCUUGCCGCUGGCGGAGUCGAUGAGGCAGGGGCGGUCACGGUGGGCGGCGAGGUGCUGGAAGCAGUAGGCGUGGAGGGGGAGGUGGUCGGGGAUCUCGAUGUCGGGAAGCUUCGACCGGAAGAUGGUCGCCUCCGUAGGCGGAUAGGGGCCCAUCGCAAUCAAUCGUUUAGAGAGAAAGGAAAAGAUUUGGUUCAAUUCUCUUGUCUCUACUUCAGUGAGAAGAGGGCGGUGGUAAUAUAGCGAUGGGAGGGGAAGCGGAGGGGAAGGUGGUGGGGUUAUGAAAUGGGGAUUAUUAAAUGGACGCGGAGAGGAAUGGGUAUAAAAUAAAGUGUGGAGAGGGUUGGUAGCAUGGAUUGACCAUGGACUGGAGUGGACCCGCGACCGGCGGCCACGAUGGCUCUACCACCUGCCGCACCCGCAAACAAUGGGGAGGGAGGUGGUGGUCCUUUCUUCCAUUCCGACGCAUAAAAUCUUUACGCGGAAAUGAGAUCAUAGCCGUUGGUGGUCUGUCAGACUAAGGGAGUCCUGGUGGGGUUCUCGGCGUCUUGGUUGGUGAUUGAUGGGGGAUCUGAGCCGUUAACUGAGUUGGUUGUCUGGAUCGUGCGGCUGGCGUGAUCGGAUGGACAAAGUUGUCCGGGCCAUCGCACCUACCGACGGUCGGAGGGCCGUGAGAAGCUGGCUGCCAGAACCACGAGAAAAAACGUAGACCGAAAAGCGCGGAAGAAGGAUUAAAUAAGGGAAAGAACGAGUGAGAUGGGGGCCACCCCCAGUUUAAGCUACAGCUGCAUGUAGAUGCCCCGAGUAGGCCGGUUUUGUCCUCCAUGUCGGUUCUCUCUGUUUUGUCCUCUUUCUCUCUCUCAUAAGGUUUUGGAGUCGGAUUCUUCCAUUUGGUGGUGGAACCUGAGAUGGACAUGCAGUCCAGCUCACCUCCACUUAUCAAAACAUUUCCGGUUUAAACGCGAAUGGAAGAGGAUCCAAAAUUCACAGAAAGCAAGACUUGAGAGUGGAUGAGAUCCAAACAGCUACUAGCUAAUUCGUCCUUUAGAAAUAGCCAAUUCUUGUAUGAAAAUAGAGACAACUACUAGAUUAAAGGAAAAUAUGCAGGUUGCAUGUAUCUCGUCUUUAGGAAUUGGGUAAUCCUAUGGUUAAAGCCAUCACGUAUCUGCCUUUCAGGGCUUGGUUACCCGAAAAAAAGGAAAAAGAAAAAGCUGAAAGAUGUUCAACCCUACUCUCUGGCUAUCCUCUUUUCUAUUCUUUCUAUAAAAACUUUAUGGCUGAUGGCACUUUUCUCAAUUAAAAUAUGUUAUUAUAUAAAUAAUAACACUACACUUCCCCUUUGAAAUACUUAUUUGCCAUUUGGAUUUGUACUCUUCUAGGUGUGUUUUUUUUUCCUUUUUCCUUUCUGGAUUUCUAAUUGGAAAUUAGUGAAAUGGGCACCACGCUAGCUCCCACGAGACUAUUUAGAUUUUACAACUACUUGUAUGUUAUAGAGCUCGCACUUCGAACGUGGAACAGAAUUGCACAAUGUUUGAUACAUUGGUUCUGAUUCAAAGAUUGCAGAAAGGGAUAGAACAAAGAAAAUUUUACCAAGAUUAGUUGAAGCCAUAGGACCCCAACAAAGCCUUAGAAAUCACCUUUACUAAUUUUUGUUCCGUGGUCACACCAUGGGAAUUAGGAAAUCAUUAAUUGGUGGCUCAAGUUGGGCUUGCAUUUGGUCAACUCUCGUAAGCUACUACCCAGGUUCGAGCACAUGCCAAUCUAAUUAAACUAGUGUUCUGGAGAAGGGAAUAAAAGUGUAAUCAUUGUGGGACUUCUCGUGACAACGUGGGCGGGUAAUUUUUUUCUCGUCUCUCCAUAAUUAUUAUCUAGUUUAUGAUCGUAGAAUUUUUCUACUGCAAUAGACUUUGCAUGACCAACUCCAACGGCAUGUUUGAUUGGGAAGUAUUGGAUUUUGGAAUGACAAUGAGAAUGCGUAAUUUUAUUCUAACCAUUUAGUUGGGGGAAAUCCAUUUCUAUUUCAAUAUCCAAAAAAACAUAAAAAUAUCCCAAUCCUUAAUAAAUCAAUUCUUAUUCUCUUCUAAUAUCAAAAUCUCAUUCUAAUUAUAAUCGUGAAUCAAAUGCAUCAAAAGAUAUAGCUAUUCUAAUUUUCGUUCUGAUCAAUUUUAAUUCUGAUCAUAAACCAAACAUAUCCUAAAAAUUUUCUUUAUACACGAAAGAUAAUGGCCUGGCAUUUUGUGACCUUCAAUUAUUAGCAGCCAGACUUCCAUGAGCAAUAUUGGUAAACGAGGGUUAAUACAUCCAAUUUUUACAUUGUUCACAGUUAUAGGCUAGUGUGCUAUCUUGUUGGGUUGAGUAUAUGUUUUAGUAGACCUAGACCCAGAACCAUUGGAGUUUCAGGUCUAAACAUUGUUCCAUAUCCAGUCCACUGAAGCAUAAGAUCAGAUCCACAUUUUGAUGAUAAAACAAUUGUAAAACCCAUUAAAUCUCUAGGUUGGAUUCAAGAACACCAUAUUUACACUCUAUGAAAUACCAAAUUAUAUAUUUUAUACAAUUAACCAAGCUAAAAAUAACAUGCUUAAAAAAGAGUAUCCCUAAAAUAUCUAUUAUAUGUUCCAAAAAUUUAAACAACAACCAACAAAUGCUUGACAAUUUACUAUAUAAUAAUAAUUGAUAAAAAAUUAAAAAGAUUUGCUUAGCUUAAAAUCACGUAUAAGCAUUCAAACAUGUCCUAAUAGGCUUGAUUCAUUGUAUCUCAUUAAGUUAUGGAAAAAUGUUGUACAUCAAAAAUUUAGAAAUUGAAAAUAUAAAUAAAUUUGAUAUCAUAAUAUAAAUGACCUAGAUAUUUAUGAUGGACUAUGUUGGAUCAAGUUUCAAAGACUCAAAUCGAGUCCUAGCCUAGAAUUUUCGAUGGCUAAGAUUCAAGACCCAUUCACUACACAUUCAUCAAGGGGUCAAGUUUGGGAUCUUGCCAAGUUUAGUUCGAAAACUGUGAUCUUAGGCUAGAUUGAUGGUAUAAGAUAAGGAUGAAGAUGAAGUAAGGAGGUAUUUGGUUCACGAUCGAAAUCAAAAUGAAAAUUGAAAUUAUCAUAUUUUCCUAUGCAUUUUGUUCACGAUUGAAUUUGGAAUUAGAAUAAGAUUUAAAUACCAAAAGGGUUGGAUUUGCAAUCAGAAUUCAAAUUAAAAUCAAAAUUAGAAUAUAUUGAAAUGAGAAUAAAAUGACCAUAUCUCUUGGUGUGUUUGAUUCAUAAGUGAAAUUAAAAUUAAAAUUAAAAUUAAAUUUAAAUACUAGACAAAAAUAGUGACUGUGUUUUGAAAGAUUAAGGUAUUCUCAUUUUCUUAAAAAUUAGAAUAGAAAUAAGAUUUUUUUCAAUUAAAUAGUUGACAUGAAAGUUAUUCUCAUUCCUAUUUCAAGCUCAUGCUCCCCACAAUCAAACAUGCCCAACUAUUAUUUACUUAUUUAAGCAUUAUUCCUAACUUAUUCAAGAUAUUAAUAUGUUACAUAUUACAAGCAGGAGGAUGUGUUCCAUCUACAUUAAAAAUGCAUUUGAUUUAUGAUCGAAUUAAAAUUGAAAUAAAUUAGAAUAGAAAUCAAAAUAGCUAUUUGAUUUUAUUAGACUAUAAUUCAUCUAUCUAAUGAUACGUCCACUCCCACGGACGUGGCAGAUACUGGGCAUCAUAACAUGGGCAACCAAGACAUGUGAUCAGAGCCACAUCAUACGAUCCAAACAGCACCAUAGAUGUCGGCAUCUAACCAACCACUUGCGACAGGUCGACAACUUGCCUAGGAUUGUUCGAUAAUACCUGAUCGAUCCCAUUCUCUCCCACUUCAGCUUUCUGCAAGUCGUUCGUCAUAUCGGACACUCUUUGAAACUUUCGACACAUGAGUCUCGUAGGUGACAGACUUUGCAAUAGCCAGCCAAUAUCUACUACUUCAUCGAAUUUGGACAACAGGCUAUACAACUUUCUUUGACGCCCACUAUUCUAGCUCUGAUAGUCGCUGCUUCAACUUCGACUGAUGCCAACCAUCCGACACACCUCUUUGAACAAAAAGAAAGAAAGCCAAAGGGACAAAGGGAGGAAAAAAAGGAGGAGACACGCUCUCCCCCUCUGGAGACGGUGACGAUUCUGGACUCUAGCUACUUUUCUAACUUCAUCUUUCUCUAUUAUUCUCUUUUUCUGAUUGGGACUCAUUUAAUCAGUGAAGGAUCCUCCAUCGAAAAAACCCCACCAUCUUUUUUGAUGUUUUGGGAUUUUUUUUGUAAGUCCACAAUGCUCCGAUCAUAAACCGGCUACUUCAGCUCAAUAAGAGCCAAGACGGUUCGGUCCAGUCGCUCUCGCCACAUCACUUAGUCAGGUAGGUGCAAUAAUAGGUUCAUAAUAAAAAUAAAAAUUAAUAUUAAAGAAAAUUGAAUAUUAAAGGGUAGUUGGAAUUGAAUUUUGGAGAUUGAGAUACUCUCAUUUGUUUAGUAGAAUAAAAAUAAAAAUAAAAUUUUCACGAUGAAAUAAUUGAAAUGGGAGUAACAAAUUUAUAUUUUUAUUUUAAAAUUUAAUUUCCGUUAACCAAACAUGUCUCGGGUUCGCCGCGCCGAUUUAAUGUGCAUGAGUGUCAUCCAUGAUCGCAGCUGUUGCGAACAGGGGAUGGUAGUUCAAAAUAAUACGGCAUCGUUGUAAUAUGAAUUCCAGGAUUUCUUCAUAUGCAUCCACCAGAUCGCCGGCUGUCGUGAAUCCAAAGUCAUGGCCUAAUAAACAUAUUGUUCUUUGGCCGCAUUCCCAUUUUUAAUGCAACUUAGUCAUGUCCUCCGUUCAAAAAAACGUGUCACAAUGUUGGACUUCAAAUUAUUGCUAUUCAUAAAAAACAAAAAAAAUCACUGGAAUUCAGCGGAAAGCCACCGUGCGGUGCAUUUCGUUUUGGCAGUAGAGGCUAGAGUGGCCUCCGCAAGAGCCACCUACCGAAGCCCAACACACGAAUUGGUCUUCCAGAUUCCCGUCCAAUCCUCACGCGUGCUGGGAAGAGUACUAACGUUGAAGAAGUUAUAUUGUACACGGCAUGUGGUCUACUUCUGUAGUGAUUCAUCGAGAUAAAUAUUUGUUCGAUAAAAUCAGCAGAAAUAUGCGGCCUUGAUUGGUGACGCUCACAACCACAUGUUGCACGCCGUGCAUGAAAUAAUCCUACCAUAAUUGGGGCCCAUGUGUCCAAAUAUGUAGUCAUGGGAUCAAUUCCUAGAACCAUACAUGAAUACCACACUACUUCCAUCCCAUGUCUACAUCAGUCUCUUCCCCAGCUUUUUUGAACUUAUAAAAUACAUGCACUAAUGGCGUGGUGGAAACUGGCCGAACCUCAGCGAAAGAGGAAAUUAUUACAUGCGCUAAUAGGACCGGUCCAAAGGCCAAGGCCUACGGACUGCGGAUAACCCGCAUCUCUCGCUGGUGACUAUCGGACUGAUCCAGAAGACCUGAUCCAUCUAAUAAAAAAUAAUUAGACCAGCAAAAGAGCCCUGACCCAACCCACAAUGCAUAAUACUUUGUUUUGUUUGUUUUGUCUCGGUUGUCGGAUUGUGACGGCUUACCGGACGUGGGGUGGUAGGGUUGCCAAGCCUCAAUGGGAAUACACAAGGAUGGACGACCCAAAAAGUAUCCCACCAACCAAGACCAAAAUAAAUUAUUUUUUUCCGGGGUCCACGUUCUAACACGCGUUCGGGACAUGGCGUUGUCACAAUUGCAUUUGGAUUUCUUAUAUAUAUUCACGUCGGUACAAGGGAAAAAACAGCUCAAACCAGCUGGCUUGAGUAGGACGCUGGUGUUGGCUAAGAGUUCGGAUUUCAUCUUCUUCGUGGGAGAAUGGUUGACCUUUUUCACAAUAUUAACCAUUGGGUCAUAUUUUAUAUAGAUCUCAACGUAUUUUCAAUUCUUUUCUGGUCUAUCUGUACAGAUCUCGCAGUGAUUCUUACGUGAUCCAAUGGUGCAUAUCACGAAAAAAAUAAAUCAUUCUUCCCGGAAAGAUAUAUUCCAAAGCAAUCAAUGCAUGGCUACAAACCAAAAAUGAGAAUGUAGAAACACUCCAAAUUCUCUUGCGUCCACGAGAUUUCCCCCCCACCCCCAAAAAAUGGCUCUAUUUAAUUUCGUAGAUCACCAAACACAAAGCUUGUCCCGGGAUCUCAAACAGCUUGGUUUAGAGGGUUCGGUUGGGCCGGGGCCGUUUGUGGUGUUGAAGGACCAAAUUUGAGAUGGCUUCUGAUAGUUCAAGGCUUAGUGGUUCGACACAAUUUGUUAUCACUCUUGUCCUAUUGGUGUGGUUCAGUGGCUUGGACCAGUUCCGGUGCACACACUUGGAGCUGGAUACCGUCGUAAUUUAGUUAGGAGUGCUUCAAUGGAGGAUCAGCUGUGUAGACAACUAUCAUGUGAUAUUAAGCUAUCGAAAAUAAUAAAAAGGAAGCUAGCUGUUAGGUAUAAGUAGGUUCGACUCCUUUAAACUAUGAUUGUCCAAUUCAUUCAUCAUGCAAAAAGUAUUAUUUUUCUUUGACGUGACUCUCAUAAUUGAAGAUCGUGUUCCUUUUGGUACACAUGGAGGAUGACGUUUCUCCUUAUGCAAAAAAUCAUACAUAGUAAAUUGAUGGGUCCAACCUCUCUUCUUAUUUUAUUUACUUGAUAAAAUGAAGGUUGAUGUAUCUAAUCUUAAUUUUUCUGAGUAAAGGUAAAAAAAAAGGUAUGUUAGAUUGGAGGUGGCAUAAAUAUUCUAUCUGGUACAACCAAAGGCUGGAGUUUACCUUCAAGUCUUUAAAGUUGUUAAUCCAAAUUAGAACUGCUAAAGAGAUGGCCCAGAAAGGUCUUUAAAGUUGUUUGUCCAAUUUGAACUAGUCAAGGGAUGGCCCAGAAUGGUUGGUGUAACUUCAGAAACAAUCUAAUUACAGUUUAAAUUGUCCUAAUCGAUGCACAUUCCCACAAUUCAUACACGUUAUGGCCCUAUUGGGUACGUUGGUGGGAGAUAAGGAUCCCUUAAUUGUAGAUGGGCCAGAGAGAGAGAAAAUUACGUGGUAUACUUUAAAAAAAAAAAAAUACCCAUGUUGUUUUAGGGAGAGGACCACUGCAGGAAAAUUUCUAUUGUGGCGACCCUGGCCAAACACUAGUGCAAUUGUAUGCCUGGCCUUGACUUCCUGGAAGCGUUUCGGUUUGUGGUGUCUGGCUCCCACAUCCGAGAUGCCUUGCACCUUAUCCUAACUUAGACAACCCACAGUCUAGGGUAUCUGCAGGACUCUGACCAGCUCCAAAGGCAGUCCAAUGGUUGUUGGAUGAAGAUUACCAGCCCCACCAAACUAGCCAAGCAAAAAAAUCUUCGCUACAAGUAAAAAGUCUUCAAAAUCAACUUUGGAGGCAAUGUUCAAAGUAGAAGAGAGUUUGGUGGAGCUAGUUUUGCUACUAGAAGUGAUAAUGGUGCACUGGUGGCAGCUGAUGGUGUUAGACUGUUUGCUAUUGCAGUUCCAAUAGCAAAAUUACGAGCUACAUAGGAAGGACUGACACAUAUAUAUAUAUUGCAAAACAGCUUAAGGCUUCUCAUAUUAGUCUUAAGAGGGAUUCCUUGAUAAUAACCAUGUGGCUAUCAAAUUUAUCAACUACAGACACUAAUUCUCAUCCCCUGAUUGCUGGAGAAGGGCUGACAUAUGCUAUGAAGCAAUGGCUUCUCAUAGUAUUCUUAAGAGGGAUUCUUUGACUACGGUUUAAAAAAAAUGGAGAUUCCUUGACAAUGGUUAGGUGUCUAUCAAAUUUGUCAAUUACAUACACUAAUUCUCAUCCCUUGAUACAUGAUUCCUAGAGAAUGAUAGUUUCUUUAUGUUCGUAUGAGGUAAUAUAUGUAUAUAGAGAAGUUAAUAGUAUUACAGAUUGGAUAGCGAUAAUGGCCAAUCAUACAGGAUUACAUUAUAGAUUGCUACGACAAAUAUUCCUUCUGAUUCUUCACAUAUCGUACUCUUUAAUUUCCAUGGAUAUACUUAUACUAGAUUGAUAUGAUAAAUCAGAAUUUAUCCAAAAAAAAAAUUUUUUUCAGCCACCGAAAGCAAAUGACUAGUCAACCUUUACCAAAAAACCAACUCUCAUUGGAAGCUAGUACAGUAUUAAUUGGAUUUUGGAUUGUGUUCUAACAAAGAGUUUGGAUUGCUUGGAUAGGCAUGAUUGACAUAGACUUUACAUAUAUAUCAUCUUUUUAUUUAAUAAAUAUUUUGCUCAAUUAGCACAAUCAUGAUUAUCAAAAUCUAAAUUGAAUUUGAGCUUAUUUACUCUCUAAGAUAGAGGAGGAUAAGUUUCCAUCAAAAAAAAAAAAAACAAGAGAGAGAGAGAAAGGUAGGUGCUCUUCGAUCAUGUAAAUAAAGCGAAGACCUAUAUGAGUAAAGCAUAUACUGCUCCAUGGUUGGUUAAGACAAAGGAAGCACCAAGUGUUGCUAACUUGCAUAAAUUGCAUCAAGAUUUGAGAAGCAUCCUAAUAACUAUUCAUGCUUUUUUUUAUUUUUCCAAGGGAGGGUGGCGUGAAGAUCCUUGAAUCGUCGGUUGUCACUUGUUACAUCAGUUUAUUAAUAUCGAUAAAAUAGGUUAAGAUUUUUUAUUAUACUUAUAUAUUCUUGAACCCAUCCAUCCAAACACUAGGAUUUUUAAAUAUGAUCUUAAUAUGGUAUUAGAGUUCAACUAUCAUUCUUGCCUACUAAAACCUCCAUAGUACCUUACUAAUCCAUGUAUCAUCCUUAAUUCCAGAUUUCAUCAUUGAAAAAUCAUAGGCUUAUAUUAGAUAAGUUAAGAAUUCUUUUGGUCCUUGGCCGACCUACAUUAGCACAAAGGUAGACGAUCAUCUAUGGAUUUGUAAUUUGAUUACCGCAGCUGGCAGGGAUUGGAGGGCCUAGGAAGUCACCCGCUUGUUUGGUGGGCUGUUAGCUGACAAGAUUUUUACCAUCCUAAUUUCUAUCCAUUGAAGCCAAGACUUGAGAGUGUGGAGGCGAUCCUACUAUCCUAAGGUUCCUGUUAGAGACCUCAUAGAUAUGAGCAAAGCAGUGCCAGACAGGAGGAUCGACAUGGCUUAAAUAUGGAGAGUAGUGGCCAUCCUCGGAUCAAGCUCUUUCUCUAAAAUAUUGCUUCGGAUCGGCUUCUGACUCGGACACUUCUCAAAGAUAGAAGUAUGGAGGUACCAACUGCUUACCCAAUCUAUAAGUUGGAGGAAGGGUCGAUGGAGCAUGCAUUCCUUCACUAUCCAAAGGGGAGUUUGAUUUAGAGAAUGAUCAUUGACCAGUUGUGGGGGGUGAUUAGUUGCCCUUGGCUCCCUUUCUAAAUACGCUCCAUCAAAGCAUGGUCAAGGGUUUGCUCGAGGACAGUAGGAUGACAUAUGUCGCCUAUCAGAUUUGAUUAUCCAGAAAUAGCCUUGUGUUUGAUGCUGAGAUUGUGCCUACGUGAUGGUGCUUGAGAGAGCUUAUUGCUUAAUUGCGGAGUACUGCCACUUUAAUACUGUUGGCUUGAGUCUUAUCGGUCCGAGUUCCUAGGACUCCUUGUUGCGCCUACAGUGAUUCGAAGGAUUUUGUUCAUUUUUUGGGAGCCUCCUCUUUUGGAGUUUGUCAAAAUCAACUUUGAUGACAAUAUUAAACAUGGCAAAGAUGGUUCAGACUAUGUCAUCUACGGUUCGGAUGCUAGGCUAUUGGCUGCGAGGGGCUUAUAACUUUUUGAGCCGACUGUCUUCAAUACAGAGCUUCGUACCAUUUGGAUGGGCAUCAUUUGUACGAGAUAAGAGUUACAGGCUGAGAGGAUUUUUAUUUAGAAUGACUCUGCCAUAAUCAUCGACUGAAUUCGGGAUGAGGCAAAGCAUCUGCAUGUUCAUCUUUUUCUCUGCGAUAUUUGAAGGUCCGUUCGUCAUUAACCGAGACAACUGUUCGACACAUUUUUAGAAAGCUUAAUAGUCCUGCGAACUGAGUUACUUCCUUUGUUACUGAGCAUACUGGAGAUUGGACCUGACACUAAGACGGUACCUACCUUUAACUCUUAAAAGAUAUUUUGUAUUCUGAUUACUUGAGUUGUGCCUGCACUAGAAUGAUGUGAUCGUCCGUUUAUACUAAAACAAAAAAAAAUCUUUUGAUCCUUAUAUACUCUUGGACCUAUCCAUGUAAAUGCCUAGAUUUUUAAACAUAAUUUUAACAUUUAACAUUUAAUAAAAAUAUGUUUACAAUCGUGACUAACACAUGCCUAGUGAGCGAGCGACUUGGCAUGCAUUUUUGCUACUCAUGUUGCACUAGGAAACUUGUUGAGGAAACAUAUUUCUUUUUUUUUAAAAAAAAUAAUAUAUUUUGUUCUGUUAGGAACCUAAUUUGUGUUAGGUUGUCAGCAAAUAGUACAUGAUGAAGUUCAAGCAGAAAGGAUUGAUUCGUUUAUCGGAGAGAAAAAUCUAGGAUGAAGUCGUAACAAGGUAGCCAUACUGGAAGGUGCGGCUGGAUCACAUUACACAUGUCGAAGCACCUAAAUAUGGUGACAUGAUCUCAUACUCAGAGUACUGGAGGAAAUAAACGAAAUUUCAUCACCACGGACAGCCAACUUCCCUGUAAUAUCAUGGAUAUUUCUAUUAAAUUUCUUACUUGUUUCCGGUUGCUUUGUCUAAACAUUAUAUCCUUUCACACUAAUAAAAAUUCCUCCUGCUAUUUUUGCAGCGUGCAAAUUCUUUUCCUUAACUUCCAACCCCAGUUUUGUUUCCGUGUGUCCCAUAUCUACUUCCCAAACUGACAAAGCAGACUGGGCCAUUGGGUUGGGCUCGGUCAAUCAAGCUGAAACCGGGCCAUGAUUUGGAGACCAAGUCCAACAUCAAAUAGGCGCGUUAGUACGUUCAUUCAAACGCUGACCACCGCCAAUUCCAACCUAUAGCCAUCCUUUCAGUGGUCCUUCCAUGUAUCCCAUCCAUCAGACGGCUAAGAAACUAAACUAACACAUGCAGCUCCAAAUCAACUUGCUCUCAAGGCUAACUGAUGUUCUCAGCUCCUAGACUGCAAUAUUUGACUCCAGCCACCUUUCCUUAAUUCUUCUCUCCCAUGUAACGUAGAACUCCUGUCCCCCACGUCUCUUUCCUUAGCCUCCUGGCAAGUUCUCCAUUCCGAGUAACUUCUCGUUUGCACCAACUAGACCUUUCCACCUCUCUUUCUCAUAAAAUCCACAAACCUACCUUCUACUUCCUCUCAUAUCACUCAAUUAAAAGCUCUCUCCUACUUGUCCUCGGGCAUUCAACAAUCAUGGCUGUUAAAAACUCUCGAUUCCUUGGUCGCCUAAGAAGGAUAAUCCAGAAGGUAAGGUUCUUGUUAUCCUUGAACACCAACAGAUGGUUCCUGUCUUCUGUCGUGGGAUUGUCUCCCGGGCCUCGCCGGCCAGGCUCUAAGGUCCAGCAAGGGCUUCUCGACUGCACCACCGGGGCCGCCGAGGACUACUACGAAGUGGGCUCUCAGUUUGGUCUCUCAAGGACAACAAGCUCGACCUCAGGGGUAUCAAGGACUACUAGCUUGGAGUCAGAGAUCUCGAGGACUACCAGUGACGCAUCGGCAGGCGACGAUAUCGAUAAGAGGGCGGAGAUUUUUAUCGCUAACUUCUAUCGGCACAUCCAGAUGGAGAGGCAGGUCUCGCUCGAGCUGCGUUACUGUAAUGAGAAAACCUUGGAGAGCACGAGGUCAGAUUGAAUGGAACGGUGACCGACAUGUGAAUGGUUAUUUCAUGUGGCAGAAUUCUUUCCAUUCUUUUUUUUUUGGUUUCCGUGUGAUUGUGUGAACAUUUCUUGUCCUGGGCUCUUUUACAAAUACGAGGAUGGUGGUGGUGGCGAGGGCAUGAAUUAUAAUGGCUUACCCCACUUGCUUCUUUUUGGCAUACCCCUCCUCAUUUGGAUUUUUUUGGAUUUAAUUUGGUUAUGACUGUAUGCUGGUGUUCUGUUUAGUCCUGUAUUCUUUUGAACGAAAGAACAGUUUUUUUGUACAUUUCUCAAUAUAAUAUGAUAGUUAUAAAAACAAAUGGAGUAUCGUGUCUCAUGUAAGAUGCUUCUCAUAGGAUUUGAUGCUGUUUAAUUUCUACACUGGGAGCAAGAGGGACGAGGACAAGAUUUGGGCUAGCUGGAUGGAUUGAGGCUUUGCCCAUAAUCAGCUAGGCAGGCCCAAGAUGGGGCCAAAAUCCAGCUUUGGUGGGCUUCCCUCAAGGUGACACCAAAUCUCUACUUUCUUUCUAAUGCCCCACGCCUCCUCCCUGAGAAUGAUCCACCAGAUUCUUCGCAACAACAUGAACAAUGGCCCAUCUGCCUAACCAUCGCCUUUGUCCUACUUUUCUAAGUUCACAUGCGCCAUGGCUGGGAUUGGAAACUAUACCACUAGUAACUUGGCAUUGGAAAAUCUAUGAGUUUUUCAACACCUGAAGAUAGUGGCAUAAAACAUUGUGGGGUUGGCUCCUAAAUCAUUUUAACAUAAGUUUUCACGGCUCAAGCCAACUUUACACCUCCACCUAGAUGAUAUUCAAUAUUAUACAUCCAUGCUUCCAUAUGUAUAUCAGCUAAUGGUAUGUAAUUUCCUACAUUAGGGUUUAGAUAUACUGUACCUAGAAGCAAGGGGUGUGGCCAAGAACCAGCUACCCCCUUCAACCCACUCUAUAUUCAUUAUGCGAAUAAGGUCUUGAUUUUAGAACACGCGGAUGCAAUACAUCGCCAUCUUACCCUAUUCGAGCGACUUCUAGUUGCCCAUGAUUUGUUGCACUAAAUGGUGAUCGGAGGCCAAGAUUGAAGCCAAGAUGGCAUAUAACUCCGGACACCAAAAGGAUUAGUUGAUGCUUGCUAAGACCUCCAAUGACUCUCCAAGGCCGGUGAGAAGCUAGCAUAACAAGGUCACAAUGGGGAAUUUUUGAGGUCAGCCUAGAGCUUAUACCGACAUGAGUGGGAUCCUAGCCCGAACCAAAUACAUGGUACCACUGCUUAUUUUCUGCUCAUUGACAUCAUGAGAGAGCCCGACAUACAGUGAUGGCAUAGCUGCCCAUAUUCGGGACCAUCUACAAUAUAUUCAAAUAUUUUAGUACAUGAACGGCAAGCCUUAUCCAACGAUCAGGCAUUGGAAUUAUUGUCCUCAUUCUCUCCUAGGUUCCUAUCCGAAGCCGAAGUAGUAUGACUCUGCAUAAGUUAUAAAUUAUUAAUAUUGUCAGUUGAGGUUCGCCAUCAGGCUUCACUCCAGUCAGGCAGUCAUUUAUUAAUGAGAUAUGCUUGAGACCAAAUCUUUGAUAUAUGUCACUAUGUAUAGGAUAGUGCUCAUGUUGGGCUAAGUCGUGACUCCAGGUUGGGCCCAUCGUAGGUUGAACCUGCUCAAUGAGUACAGACAAGGACGCCAGGAUCCAAUUUGAGAAUCAAUGCAUCUCCUUAUGACAAAUUAAUAGGACUCCUAGGAGUGCCAAAUGGACUUGGUUGUAUUAAUGUUUUUUUUUUUUUAAUAUUUCUACUCAUCAUGUCUUUCAAUGUUUCAAACAUGACAACUCCGCCUAGGUGCAUGCACCUGAGAGGAGGGUGCCGAUUGAGCCUUUUGACUAUAAGUGAUGAUCUAUGAAAUUAACAUUAAUAUUGAGCAAUCUCAUUAUAGUGAGAAAGGAAAAAUUAUAUCAAAUGCUACGCAUGAUCAUGCAUGCCACCAAUCAGCUAGGCACAUUCCUAUGGACCAAUCACCAAGACGAGCUCAUGAUUAAGGAAACUUACAAUGAUGCAUCUUAGUGAUUCGUUGCAUGCACAGUCACAUAAUGCAUGCGGUGCCGGAUAUAAUUUCUCAUGAAAGAGAGAGAAAAAAAAGAGAGGGCUCACUAAACCCUAAUGCAUAGCUAUUCAAUUUACUAGUUAGGUUGCUCUUCAGAUUUAUUUUGGGAUGGCCAAGCUUGACGGCAUUAUCGGGCGGAAAGAAAAAUGAACUCCAAAUGCGCUCACCCCAACCCAAGAGGAUUCAGUUCUGUGCAAAUAAAAACCCUAGACCCGCCCAGACCACCCUGCUGAAAUUCUCAGCUUUGCAUGCAAGUUGGGUGGGUGAUUCUUUGGGUGGAAACUGGGGUGCAACUGGAAGUGUGGUCAUGGUAUGAUGUUCUUAUGAUUUAGAGAGACAUAAUAACCUCGCUGAAGGGCCAACCAACUUUGGAUACUUUUCGGGCAAUCCAUGCACAUCUUGAAAAGUGUGAUAAAUGAGAAUCGAGUGGGAAUGAUGAGAAGGGCUCAUGAACAAGGGAUACGGCUAAAAAGGCCAAAAGAUUUGAAUGAUUAAUAUUCCAAUGUUUUGGUUGCUUUCAGCCAGAGUGAUGGGGCCAACUCUCCCUUAACCUAGCUGGAUAUGGGCUGGAAUAGUUGAUCCUCCUUCAAAGCUUCUCCUAAACCUUUGAAUCAGAAUUCAGGCCACCAAGAGUAUACAGCAUUGGUUUCAAUUAGAUCACCUUGUCCUCUUACAGGUAGUGGGUGAUUAUGUUGCUCAGAGGAGCAGCAAAGCUAUUGCUCAGAAAAAUAAUUUGGCUGCUGAAAGUACCACUACUUUACAAGCAUUAUUUAGCUGGGAGGAGGAAGAGGAUUGCUCCCAUCAUUAUCAUCUCUCUCUCUCUCUCUCUCUGUGGGACAGAAGAAUCUCCUCUACCUCUGACAGAGAGUAGCAAGGACUUUUUUGUCCCACUUUAGCAGUGAUUCUGGCACCCUAUCGCUCAGAGAUAUCCAUCAUCCAUCAAUCUAUAUAUUCAUCUACCAUAUCUCAGCUGUAUAUCACCUUUGCUAGGUGUUGGCUGGCAGCUUUCCUUCUUCCAGCGUUUUGUUUCUUUCUCUCCUUUAAUCAACCCUCUAUCCUCUAUUCGACGAAUGAUUGGGUUGGGACCAUCGCACCACAAAAGAUGUUGUGGCAUUCCAAUCAUGACAGCCAUAUGCAAGCCCAUGUGAUAAAAUAGUAGGCUGCUCGAUUUUUUCUGUAGCUCUGUGAGCCUUCGUUUACACUAUCCUGCACAUCUAGUUCUAAGAGACAUAGCUAGCUUAAUGCCCCUUCGCUAUCAGCUGCAUUGGCAUCUUGACAUGGUGCUCAAAUGAGGCAAAUCCAGAAAUCUUUUGAGCCAUUUUCUAGUAGGAUGCCUAGAUUUGCUGAGUUUGAUGUACUGGAUAAUCUUUCAUUGGUUCUGCUGCCCCUCCCCCUCCAUUAGCUUAUGCAACCGACAUUUCAAAGUUUUGGAUUCUUUUCAUUUGGAGAAAGUUCACCAGAACACCAAUUACAUCAAUCAAUAUUGCGCACAGCGUGAAACUAUAUAUAUGAUGCAGACGCUGCCUACAGUUUGCGCACCUUCCAUGAUAUGGAAAGCUCUCAAAUUAGUUUCAUCUACAUGAACAGAAAUAUCUUGGACGAAAGUAAAGAUGUAAAGAAUUUUUUUCCAGAAAUUACUCUUUUUCCAGGUGAAGGAAGAGGAGAGUACGUUAUGGAUUUAUAGAUAUUCAUGUAAAUGGAAAGGAUUCCUUCAUUAGAGGAUGUCCUUCGAAAAAAAAAAAAAGAAAGAAAGAAUUGCAACUAUGUGAAGGAUCAUUAUCACCAUGUAACCUUCCAAAAUGGAAUAUUUAUAAAUAUGGAUGAAUCAAAGAUAUGAGUUAUACUCAAAAAAUUGUUCACCUCUAUCCAAAAUUAAAGUUGAUAGGUUCACAUUUUUUUCACGCUCACAUCUUGCUUUGACGAUUAAUUAGCAUAUGUUGGUUAAUGGUGAAUCCCAAGAUUCUCCAAAACAAGUAAGAAAUCAUCUCCUCCAUAUUCACUUCCUUCAUCAAAUUAAUUGAAAAUUUUUAAUUUUCGUUGAAUUGGCAUUCAAUAAAUUUGUAAAAAUGGAUAGGAAAUCAGUUUAUUUUUAUUUUUAUUUUUAUUUUUUUGCCUUCAUUGGAUAAAACCAAGUGAACUUUCCACAGUCAUCAACAAAUAACAAAUUUUUUUAAUGGACUUAACUAGUAUGGGGCCCAUAUAUAUUAACUUCUGGAAAAUUGUUCAUCACAAUCAUCAUCCAUUCUCAAGAAUGGAAGUCUGAAUGAUUUUUCCUUUUGACAACUUUCACAAAUACCAGACAUCUUUUUUACAUGAAAUAUAAAAUUCUGAACUGUGGGCCGGUGACCCAAUUGUUGAAGCCAACCAUCUUUAUAUUUUAUCCUAAUCCAGGAUCAAAAGAGAGCUGCAUGUCCUGCAGCAAGUACAUACAAUCCACCUUUAAGACUGCAAGUGGCUACCAUUCCUUUUUGUGCAUCGGUCUGGAUCACAAAUCCAACUUUAUCAAAUUGAACAGUGUAUGGCAGAUCAUGUGUAAGAUGACUUACAGAGAAAAGAUCCUUUUUGAUCCCUGGAACAAGGAGAACAUAUUUUAAUGGGAAUGAGAAGUAACCAUAACUGAUCUGGAUUUCAACAACAUGAGUAAUAUCAAGGUUCUAUCUAUUUCCACCCAUGAUUAUAUCAUUGUCACAACAUGGUCUAAGAUUUGUCAAUUUGGCCAAGUUUCCAAUAAUGUUGACUAUAGCUCCCAUACCAGAAACCACUCGCAACGAUUCUCUAAGAUAUUAAGGGCAGUCAACGUGGAAUGUCACCACAUUGAAAGGCAUGGUUAAAAUAAUUGAAGCAUUUAAGUGCAACAUAUCUCCUCUUGCCACAAAUACGAACCAAAAAAAAAAGCAUUCUUAUCUUUAUUAUAGUUCUUGGGGAUCAUUCUCCAUAUGAGUUGCUUGAUUUAUGGGGCAUUGUUGAUUUACUUGCUGAUUUUCUUUAUUAAAGUGAGUACCAAUAUUUAAGGCUUUAAGUCCUAGCUGUUCCAUUUUUGUGAGAAAAUAGGAUUGGGAUAAGGUCGGAACUUCAUAACCCAUCUAUAUAGAGAAAAAAAAGAAGAGCAAAAAAAAAAAAGAAAGAAAGAAAAGAUGAAAAAGAAUGAAAAGUGAAAGUGAAAGUGAAAGAAAAUAAGAAAAAAGGGAAAGAAAAAAAGAAGAAAAAAGAGAGAAUGAAAGAAAAGAAAAAAGCAAGAAAGAGAAAGAAAAAGAGAAAGGAAAGAAAUUCAAAAGAAUGAAGUGAUAAGAAAAAAAAUAAAAAGAAAAAUGAAAGAGAAAGAUAAGGAAAGAAAGGAGGAAAAAUGAAAGAAAAAAAUGGAAGAUGAAGAAGAAAAAAAAAAAGAAAAAAAGGACAGAGAAAUAGAUGAUAUCUAAAGGACUCUUGAUUGGAACUACUAAUGGGACAAGUAGUAGAGCAUUCCAUUCUUUUAAAAAACCAGCAGACCUCUUUAACACAAGAUUUAAAUCAUUGCCAACACCAAUCUAACCCUUAUUAGAACUAUUGUCUUGAAUAACAUUAGUGAUGUAAAGAAGUCAAGCUGCUCACAAAUUAUUUGAGCUCGACUCAAGUCUAAAUUCAUCUCAACUACUCACGAACUUAUAUUUUUAAUAAUAUUAUUUUUAUUUUAUAAUAUAUAUUAUAUAUGGUAGGCUAAUAUUCAAAGUCAAGCUCGAACUUGAGGAUAACUUAAUUGUAUUCAAAUUGAGUUGAGUCAAUCUUGAGUAUUAUCUUUUUUUUCAUCGAGUCGAGUUGAGUAUUAUCCUUUUUUUUCACCGAGUAGAGUUGAAUUUAGUAUAUUAAGGCUCGAUAAAUUUCAAAUCGAAUCUUGAAUCUGGAUACUUAGAAUCGAGUCAAACUUGAACCUCUACUUAUUCAGCUUAACUUGGUUCGAUUGCACCUCUAGGUUACAAAAUCUUAUCCUUCUAAGUUGAAUCAGUUCGAAUUACCAUCUUUCUUUCUAUUUUCUCUGCUAUUAUUUUGUUGUCCAAGAAAAGCCAUCUGCGAUACCCCUUGAAUACUCGAGCUAUGAAGUUGAGACAAGCUUCAUGACUUUUUAAAUAGUGUCAUAUCAUGAUAGAGAAUAAAUCCUCUGUGGUACCUAAAAAAUACCGUAAGAUGUUGUGCAUGGUCGGACAUCGUCCAUCAUAAGAUGGAUGGCCACAUGCAUAUGAAAAUGGGUUGUCAUAUCAUGAUAGAGAGCGGAUCUUCUGCGAUACUCAAAAAGUACUGCAGACACGCUCACAUGCGUAUGUUAGAAUACUAAAAAGGAAGAGAUUUAUAAACUCUAAGGAUAUUUAGAUAGUUUGAACAGAAUGAGCACGGCUAUCAAUAUUAUGAUGGACGGCACCCAACUAUGUACAGCACUCUACGAUACUUUUUGAGUAUCGCAGAGGAUCCUAUUCCAUCAUGAUAAGCCACCAUUGGUUGUUAGAAAGAUGCCCCAAAGGAAGUCCAAAAACAUUGUUUUUUUUGUGGGGGACCAAUUUAUCAGGAAUCGCUAGGUCAUCAUAUGUUACUUUUCUGAUCUUUCAAGAGAAGAGACAUUUGCUGUGUCGGUAGAAAUUCCCUUUCUUAAGAGCCUUAUGCAAAUGACUCCUUUAGGGUUUGAUUUUUUAGGAUAAAAAAUUUAUUCAAAAAUCUAUAUAUUUUUUAAAUAAAUUUUAUUAGAUAAUAUUUAUAUAAAAAAAUAAUUUAUCCAUAUUCUUUUAUACAUUGAAAAAUAUCUCGAGAAUGAAUUACUCAUAUUCUUAUGCAUUACUAGUUUUAUGGAUAAGUUACUAAGAUUUAUCCAUAUUUCUCAUAUUAUCCUUUAUUAUAUAAAUAUAUUAUACAUAAUUAUAUUAUAUUAUAUAUAUAAUAUUAUAUAAUAUAUAAUAUUAAAUAUUAAUAAUAUAUAUUAUGUAUAUAAUAUAAAAUAAUAAAUUAAUUAAAUAUAAUAAAAAUAGCUAUAUAAUAAUAUAAUGCAUAAUAUUAAUAUAUAUAUUAAAAUAAAUAUUAUUAUAUUAUCCAAUAUUUUGUUAAAAUAAUAAUAUAAGAUAUCAAUAUUGCAUUAUAAUAAUAAAAUAAGGUAUUGUACUAUAACAUCAUAUUAUUAUAAUCAUAUAUUAUAUUAAAAUAAUAAAAUACUAUUAUCUAAUAAUAAUAUAAUAUUAUAUUAUAUAUGAGAUAGUAUUAUAUAUUAUUAUAUUAUUAUCAUGGGAUUAGGAGUAUAUUAGGAAUAAAAUAAAAAGAUUACUUUCUCGAUUGAUAGAAAAAUGACUUAUCCAUCUCUUAGAUAGAUAAGACUUUCUUCCUAUUUCAUGGGUAAAUACUAUUCAUAAAAAAAAUAAUUUAUCCAUUUGGAGAAGAAUGAGAAUAUAGAUAAGUUAGUCAAUAAAAAAAAUUGAUUAACUUUUCAUGAUAUUUAUCUAUAAAAGAAUGACCCUUUUACAUUCCAAAUAUUUGCGGCAGUGGUUAUCCUAACAAAAGCAAGGACUUCCUCAAUUAGGAUCCGUAUAAUCCAGCCUUGGAGAAGACUAUCUAUCAUAGUUUGGGUAGAAACCUCCUUUUAUCUGUAGACAAUUAUCCUUUUAGAGCAACCAUUUGGGGGUAGGCCAUCAAACUUUCUCUGUACAGAAAUUCUUGCAUGUCUUGGCUCUCCAUCAAGGCAAGCAUUUGAAUCUGCUGCAAGAGAGAAUUCUUGUGGAUAAGACGAAGGGACAUGAAAUUUUUGACAUUCAAAGUUGCAGAAUAUGGAUAGGAUGUGGAGGUCAUUGAUGAACAGUGGUGGUUCUCUCCCUUACCAAAGAAUUUGAUAGCAUAAAAAUGUGAAGAAGGCCUUUCAAAUAUGACUCUUGCUCAAGGUGAGGGAAGAGAAGAGUAUGAUAUGUAGUUAUAGAGAUUCAUGUAUAUGAUUAGGAUUCCCUGAUUAGUGGAUAUCUGUCAAAGUAGAAAGAUUGCAAGUAUACGAAGGAUUCCUCAUUACUAGGUGACCUUGGAAAACAAAUAAAAGAAAUAUAUAGAAUAUUUACAAGAGGAAUCCUUUAUAUUUUCAUUUCCGAAAAUGAAGCUGAUUUGUGAUCAUGUGGGCUCACAUUUCCUCUCAAAGAGAGAUUUUGGAUGUUCUCAAUCGAUGCAACUGCUCCUUGAUCGUUACAUCCUACCAAAUUACAUUUUUUUAUAUGUUAGAUGUGACAACAAACUUGGUCAUUGUCCAGCAUAUGUCCAAGCCAAGAAAAAAAAGUCAUUCAUAUCGCCAAGAAAUUUGUUCUAGAGCAUGAAAACUUGUUUGCUUUUCCCAAUACCUAAACUAAGCAAGUGAAAGCAUCAUUUUUAUUUCUAGAAAAGAGAGAGAGAGAGCAUAAAAUGGUAGCCUCAAAGUCGCAAAAUUCCACCGUGGUCGGUUGACUUAUUAGCCCGAGCCGCAGAAAAUUAAGGAAUAUCCUAACCACGAGCAGCCACGCUUGGUGGUGAGGAUGCGAAGGGCACUUCCACCAAGUUGAGCCAAGAUGGGAUUCGACAAGAAUUAGGGCGGUGAAACAAUGGACGACUCUCGACGGCCGGCCUGGUCAUUUUCCAUGGAAAAGCGAUAGAAGAAGUGGUGGUUUUCUCUUGCUUCCAUCCCACGGAACUUGUCCUCCUAAAAGAAAACUUUGGUGCUGUGGAAAUCUGGUCCCCUUCGAAAGAAAGCGCCAUUUGAUCGCAAUGGAGUGGGUUCAUGGACGCAUGCUUAAAUCCAGCUCUUGGAUUCUGCUCCAUGUGGACGCAUAUUUGCACGUCCCGUUCAUGAAUCAAAAAAUGGAUAUGCUUCAAAGAAAUGCAGAACACCUUAAUUAAUUCGAAGUUAAAAUAUUAACGAAUCUUCUUUUCUUGUGUACAGCACAUGGUGCUGGGUAUUGACGGUAAGAUCAGGACAAGUUCGAUUGAUAAUUAUUUAGCCCACUGCAGAGUAUGACACAACGAAUGCUAAAAGACAUCAACAUUAAACAUUUGGAUACAAAAAAAAAAUCUGAUAAAAUUAUUUUCUUGCAUGAAAAUAAAUAUACAUAAAUAAUUAAUAUUUAUAUGAUGUAUGUGAUGUAGACAUGCAUAUAUGUGUAUGUAAAUGCCCGGAUGUAUAUGUACUUUCGAUACUUACAUGAACUGCCGCAAGUGUGCAUAUUUUUUGAAUGCAUGCAUGUUUGUAGGUGUUGCGUUCUUUAUUUAGAUGAUCAACCAGUUAUUCAAAUGAUUUCUGCCAUGUAUUUUUUGCAUGGUGAGAAAAGAGGAUGUGGCAGACUGUUGGGGUGGAAAGUUGGGGGGGAAAAAGAUCAAAACUCACGAGAACUUUGGGCUACUGAAAUUACCAAAAUCUAUGGUCAAUCGUGAUCCAGGGAACACCCGCAGCCACCACCUUUUCCCAAUCCCCUUUUUCUCUUUCUAAGUUGAGAAAUUCUCACCCGGCGGGUCAGAGACACCUCCACAGACAGCAUGGCAGGGCAUCCGAGGAGCUCAAUAAUAAAUAAUAUCGUGACAAACGACCAAGGAAUUAGAAUCCAACCACAUUUAUUGGUAGGCAGAGGUCUUUAAUUUUGGUACCACCAAAUGGACUGCACUUUAUAUAGGUCUUGGAUCCCAAUGGCCUGGUAACAUAAGGGGACGUGGAUGGUGGACUUGGAAUUGUCCAAAUAGAAAUUUCAACAAGGGUCCCAAGUAAAGUUUUUGUCCCAUAAACAACCACAUGUGAGAGUUGCAUUAACAUGCACUGUCAUGCACCUUUCCUUUCUUACAUAUAUGAAAAAAAGAAAACACUGUUUUGUAUGGAGAAAUUUACAAGAUCUAUAUUUCGUGAUAUGCUCGGGCUAAGAUAUUGUACCGGUCGGUACUUGAGAUGUCACGAUACAACGUUUGUCAUCAAGUGCCUCAGGAAGGAAGAUUUACCGGCAUAUUACUUGUUACACACGCAUCCUAUAUGAGGAUAUGAGGAGAAAUGUUCCCAAGGCUGUGUCAUAUCAAGUUUCUUCGAGAUAGCUACUAACAAGAUUUUUCUCCUCCCGGAAAUGUCUGAGCAACUUGCGUUUGUGCACCCUAAUCUUUGUCUUUUGUCAGAUAUAGUUCUCGGAAACAAUUUUUCUUUGUUUUUUAUAUGAAAAUGGGAAACCAUCUCUAUUCACUAAGAGUAUGAAACGAUAUGUCCAGAGCCAAUUACAUCUUUGUAUCAAACAAAAAACAAAAACAAAAAAAGAGCCAAUUACAUCCCAAAAAGAUAUGUCCCAAUUGAGAGACCAUGAGUCAACAAAAAUCAGGAGGGGGAGAAUAAAGAAAGAGGAGGGAUCCAGGCAGAUACGAAUUUCUUUCAUUCCAGAUUUUUCUGCAAGUUAUAUUCUAUUGCAUUUCUUUGGAACUCACACCAGCCACCCCUCUCAUAAUGGAUAUCAUUCUAUGUGCAAGGCCAUCUAACAAAUCCAACCUCAAAAAGUUUCCCACCUAAAACAUUCACCAGGAGAAAAUCUUCACAAGUAAGUCUCUAUACCAAAUUGUUUCCUAGUUCAGAAGUUUCACACCUAAAACGUUCGCCUGGAGACAAUCUGUCUCUAUACUAAAUUGUGUCCUAGUUCAACAGAAAGCAGAGGAAGAGAUUGAGGUACUCAUGCCAGCCAAUCUCUAUUUUUAUGUUUUUUGUUAUGAGAACAGAGGCCCUAUCCCCUGUCCUUUCACGUUUCUGGAGCACCCUUCAACAUGACCGUAAUAUAUGUACCAAAAAAAAAAGACAUGACCGUAAUAUAAACAUACCCCAUGGUGUAUGCAAAAUGUUAGUGUCAUUAUGUCCUGGAUCACCAAAUACCGUAACACCAGUACAUGACAAAGUUCAUGCCAUUUGCUCUCUGAAAAGGGUGUAGAGCAUUUAAUACCCUUUAAAACAUGCUGGUGGCUAACAGAUCGCUCAGAGGAUUAAAAGAACACAAAGCAAACAACAAGGUCCCACAUGACAAAUAAGAUUAUAUAUGUCCUCAAUCUCCGAGAGAGGAGAAAGAGGACAAAGGAAACUAGCAAGAAGAGAGAAGGUUCUGUCUUCGCAUUCCCAGAAGGCCACCAAACAAAAGAUUUGAAUACUCCUGCCCGACUUUUAAAGAGGCUUCAUCUUUUUCCCCCUCUCCCAUCAGCUAGCUUUUUUUUUUUUUUUUGAAAAAAACAAAAAAAAACCUUNNNNNNNNNNNNNNNNNNNNUUUUUUUUAGAAAAAAAACAAAAAAACCUUCAAAUGAUCUCAAAUUCUCAAUUCUCCUCCCCUUUCUCUCCUCCUUUACCAUUGCACGUAUCCAUGGCUUCACCUCCAUCCUUGGGGCUCUCCAAUGCCCUCUUCUCUUGUUCUUCCUCCUCCUCCUCCAACUCCUCGUUCAGAGUCUUCUUCCUUGCCGCAGCCGAACGUCUUCCCGCUUUCUUCUUCUCCACGCGGCUCUUCAGCACUUCCAAGAGCUCCUUCAUCGCCUCGCGCUUCUCCCUUCGCCGGUUCUUUAUCAGAACCUCACUGACAUCCGCCGGAGUGAUAUCCGCCUCAUCGAUCACCUCUUCCAACUGCUUCAGCGACCCAUCUUCUUCUUCACCGUCCAAUUCGCCAUCAUCGAAUCCCAAGUAGUUCUUCAUCAGAAUCUUCAAUGCCGGGAAGGAGCAGUAGCUCAUGAAGAUGUGCAUGUCCAUCCUCCCCGAUCUCAGGAGCGCCGGGUCGAGCUUCUCUAUGCGGUUCGUCGUGAACACGAAAAUUCUCUCGCUCCCGCAGCAAGACCACAAUCCAUCCGUAAAGUUCAACAAGCCGGACAGGGUGAUCGAGUUGGCCGUCGAGUCGUCCGGCCCGGCCCCGGCCCGGAAAUCCGACGGUGGCUCACUCGGCGGCUUCUUCGAGCUACGGUUGGCCAGAUUGAUCGAGCAAUCGAUGUCUUCGAUAACUAUGAUCGACUUGGAGGUGGUCUUCAUGAGGAGCUUCCGGAGCUCCGAGUUGGUGUGCACCUCGGUGAGCUCGAGGUCGUAGAUAUCGUAGCCGAGGUAAUUGGCCAUGGCGGCGAUCAUGCUCGACUUGCCGGUACCGGGCGGGCCGUAGAGAAGGUAGCCUCUCUUCCAGGCACGCCCUGUUUUCUGAUAGAAUGUAUUGCCCUCGGCAAAGUCUCUGAGGUCGGCCAUGAUCUCUUCCUUCUUGAAAGGGUCCAUGGCGAGGGUGUCGAAGGUGCUGGGAUGCUUGAAGGGCACCGAUUCCCAGGGGUGGCCGCGGGAGUCCAUGGCGCCGCCGCGCGAAUUGGUGUAGAGGAGGCGGUCCUGGUUCCGGCGGCGGAUGUCGUUGGCGGUGUCCAUAAUGUGGUCGAGGUAGGCGGGGAGGAUGAGGGGCUUGUCCUUCUUCUUGAUGCGGAGGGUGAAGCCGCGCUUCUCGUCGGGAAGGGGCCGCCAGGAGAAGGUCUGGGCCUGGCGCUGGGUGACGACGUGCUCCCAGGUGGCGGUGGCGCCGCGGAAGGUGUCGACGAGGCGGUCGUUGUUGGAGAGGCCGAAGGUGAAGGCAGAGGAGUUGAGGGCGCGGGUGAGGGAGAGGCGGCUGCCGGCGACCGAAGCCGAGGAGCUGAGGUAGACCUGGACGGCGUUGUAGAGCUCGUUGGUGUUGACGCCGUCGAUCUCGGUGAUGUCGAAAUAGCAGUAGGAGGAGAAGCAGUUGAACAGGCGGUUGAAGAGCUUCGCCGUCGCGAAGCGGAGCUCCGCAGGGAAGACGGCGUGGAGGAUGCUCUGGCAGAAGGCGAACACCCCCAUCAGCGAGGCCAGAGAUGUCCAAAACUCCUUCAUCUCCUCUCCCGUUUCUGGUUUUUCUUCAAAAAAAAGAAAAGAAAAGAAAAGAAAACUUAUCUUAUUGGAGAAGAAAUGAUGGGUUUAUACUAUGGGAUAGGAAAAAGCUAUAUUAAUCCAUGGUUGGCUGAAAUGGAUGAGUCUCGUUCUAGUUCUGACCUUUCUUCUUUUUCCUAAAAUAUUGCUCUGUUUGAGGAAAAAGGAACGAAAGGCAAUGAGGGACGUAGACCAGAGGAUAACAGAAGAAGAGAACAAAUACAACAGAGAAAGAUGAUAGUGUGUUGGAGAGGAGAACCUCAGAGCUUUCAGAAGUUGGGUGGUGGAACAGAUGGUUUCUUCCUUCGCAGGGGAGAGGAAUUUAUAGGGAGCCUCCCAACUUCUCCUCUUCAAGAGAUUUUGAAUGAUUUCAGGAUCUGGAGUUAAAAAAAGACAGUGAAUGGGUGGGAGAUUUAGUAGGCCAUACCUGUAACAGGAAGCAAUAAGCAUAUUAAAAAAAAAAAAAAAAAAAAAAUUAAAGAGAUCUCUUUCACAGAAAAAGUGGGCUCUAAGUUGUAGAAGUUGAUAGAGAUGGAUGCAUGUGGGCUUGCAGAGAAAAGGUAAAAGAAAUAUUACUGACAGUGGAAGGCAGGGAAUACAAGCAUGCAGAGCAGGGUGCUGUACUCUGCGGCCAAGGUCUCUCUCAAGCUCCGUGGCCUUUGAAAUCUUCUUCUCCCUUCAACUGUUCAAGCUUCUUUGUUCACCACCUCUCUCUCCCCCCCCUCUCUCUCUCUCUCUCUCUCUCUCUCUACUNNNNNNNNNNNNNNNNNNNNCCACCUCCUCUCUCCCCCUCCCCUCCUCUCUCUCUCUCUCUCUCUCUCCAUUUAUCCAUCCAUCGAUCCACCAAUCUAUCUGUGUUCCGGCCCCCCCGCCCCACCCCCACCUCCCCGGGUCUUAACUUCCCGUCUUUAUUCCAGAGAGAGAUCAUGGUGAGCGUUAAUGAAGUGCAUCGAAUGUAGAGAUUUGCUAAGGAUGGAAUGAGAUCUUUCCGUCCCUAUUUUUAAUGCUCCUUAAAUGUAAUACAAGAAAACGACCUUUUACGCUCAUCAGGCCUGUCUUUCCCUUUCGUUUCCUGCCCCUUGCUAAUGCAAACAACUUGGGCAUUUAGGGGCUCUCUGUUCCUUUUGCAGGUGCCAGACGAGAUUGUUCUGGUGGUCACUGCAUGCAGCAGCAUUCUCAGAUUGGUUUCGAGGAGGUCUAAGCGAGAUAAUGUCUAUGUCCCUGUUUUGUCUGUCUUCGGUAACAGCCCCCUGUUUUAUAUUUUAACUACCUCCAUUUGGCCACCUUUCGAGGUUACUCUCUAACCUUGAGCCAUUGCCCUGCCAAGGAUUAGUCAAUAAUCACCAUCGCGAGGGGGGAAAUUUCUUGCGCCUUCAUAGACUAGACCCAUUGUAUACGUGAUUGAUUCAGACAAAUGAACCGUUUCCACCACGUCGCCUGACCCAAAGGCCUAUCGUAUAUUUGACCGAUUCAGACAAAUGAAUCGUUUCCACCAUGUCGCCUGACCAAAAGGCCUAUUUGUUUAUGUGAUUGAUUCAGACAAAUGAAUCGUUUCGACCAUGUCGCCUGACCCAAUAGGAAAAGCAGCUAAGAGUUGGACUGUUUAUAGUACGCAACCAAGUUAAAAUAGCUCUGCAAACUGGGCAAAGUCUUUUUGGAUUCCAACUUCUGAUCACUUAGUUUGACUCCUAAUUAUUUAAUAGAUUUAUGGGAAAUUCUCAAGGUUUGAUAUGCGUCUUAGCUGAUACCAAUAGCCCAUCACAUCAACCAGAGAUGAUGAUAUCAUCAUCAUCAGCUCUCCCUCCUCCCCUGCAUUCUCUCUCAAGAGCUCUUUAAUCAACGCUCUCUUCCUCUCCAUCACCAGUAUCUUUUUGGGUUUCUUUCCCUGGCUUCUCUUAUCAUUGUCCCCAUGCAAGUAAAACCCCAUGCAAGUGUAGGCAAGCAAAGCAAGUAAGCCUUGGACCACAAGAAACCACCCCUUUCCCCCCACACAUAAUAUCUGGGAAAGGGUUGUUUAAGGGAGUAGGUGGAAAUUUUGUGCAGUCCAUUAAAUAAGUCCUGUGGUUAGCCCUAGAAUACUUCUUUAGUAAAUAGGCUCAGGCAUUGAGGAGGGAAGAGGGUGUAUGCUCCCCAAGCAUAUGAUCAGUGGCAUAAAGAAGAAAAGCUGAGAGCGUUGAAAAACCUCCACAACCAUUAAUUUCAGCUCAGAACCUGCCUUGACCCGUUUCCCAAUAUCCUUGGAGCUUGCAGACAGGAAGAAACAACAGAAGGAAUAGGAAAGGACUGAUAACCCUGUGAUCUAAUACUGUUGAUUGUUGAUAUAAAAUCCCCAUCCCCUUCUGUUUGAUGUUUAUUUCCUCGGGAUCCAUUGGAUCAUAUAUUUAAUUGCUCACCAGCACGUUAUAAUAUCCCAAAUGGGCAUAGGUUUGCCCGAACGAUGACCCUUUCUCUAGAAAGUUGCCCACAAUAUACCCGCUCAUCAUGAAAGACGAAAGAACAUCUCUCUAGGCAAUGCCCCCCUCUUUAUAUUUUACCUCGCAUUUCCUCUCGGCGUGCACAUACUCCGAGCCAAUACCUUAUUGUUUCUUUUUGAAGAGAAUCGAAUCUACCGAGGAAGAGUGAAAAGGGCCGUAAGCCGAAGGCAGUAGAUUGCAAAGGUUGAAAAGCUCCGAAACCUCACGUGCAGGCCUCGCGUUUCUGGAUGAAAGGCAUAUAUUCUCCCCUCCGCGCCUUUAUUAUUAUUCGCGAUUCUUAUUCCACCCUGUAAUGUUGCAUGAAGACAAAAACGCAAAUUAGAGCAUUUUCUAGGAUUGAAUUCUUCGAUCGAAGUUAUUAUUCAACGGCCACUCAAAUGGUGGUCCGUUAAGACUAACUUUUCCAUGCAAGUAUGCGACAACUCUACAUUCAAAAAAAACAUGCAACC